rnacentral:lncRNA from 1 species
UAUAAUAAUUUUGUAAUAAAUGAUUGUAUUUGGAAGUUGAAUGUAAAGCAAAUGUAAUGUGUAAAAUGCAUGUGAGCUGAAUGCUUGUAAUAGUUAGUAUUUAUGUUUUCGAUACCUUCCUUACGCAAUCUGUGUUUGAAUACUGUUCCUGGUUGGAACCUCGUGUAUUGUAUUGAUUGUGACGCCUAGAACGUACAGAAAAAACUCUGUCCGUUCGGCGGUCUGUUGGUGUGCCCGAAUCCGACCAAAUAGG